rnacentral:rRNA from 1 species
UACAGAGGGGGCAAGCGUUGUUCGGAAUUACUGGGCGUAAAGGGCGCGUAGGCGGCCUGUUAAGUCGAACGUGAAAUCCCCGGGCUCAACCCGGGAACUGCGUCCGAUACUGGCAGGCUUGAAUUCGGGAGAGGGAUGCGGAAUUCCAGGUGUAGCGGUGAAAUGCGUAGAGAUCGGGAGGAACACCAGAGGCGAAGGCGGCGACCUGGACAAGUAUUGACACUGAACUACGAAAGCGUGGGGAGCAAACAGG